rnacentral:rRNA from 1 species
CCUACGGGAGGCAGCAGUGAGGAAUAUUGGUCAAUGGGCGCGAGCCUGAACCAGCCAAGUAGCGUGAAGGAUGACUGCCCUACGGGUUGUAAAUUUUUUUUAUAAGGGAAUAUAGUGAGGCACGUGUGCCUUUUUGGAGUACCUUUAUGAAUAAGGACCGUCUAACCCCGUGCCAACAGCCGCGGUAAAACGGGGGAUCCGAGCGUUAUCCGGUUUUUUUGGGUUGAAGGGGGGGUUUGAUGGGUUUUUAAGUAAGUUGGGAAAGUAUGCGGCUCAACCGUAAAAUUGCAAUUGAUACUGGCAGUCUUGAGUACAGUUGAGGUAGGCGGAAUUCGUGGUGUAGCGGUGAAAUGCUUAGAUAUCACGAAGAACUCCGAUUGCGAAGGCAGCUUACUAAACCGCCACUGACAUUGAUGCUCGAAAGUGUGGGUAUCAAACAGGAUUAGAUACCCUUGUAGUC